rnacentral:rRNA from 1 species
UAGCUUGCGUCUGUGGGAUCAGUGGCGAACGGGUGAGUAACACGUGAGCAACCUGCCCCUGACUCUGGGAUAAGCGCUGGAAACGGCGUCUAAUACUGGAUAUGUGACGUGACCGCAUGGUCUGCGUUUGGAAAGAUUUUUCGGUUGGGGAUGGGCUCGCGGCCUAUCAGCUUGUUGGUGAGGUAAUGGCUCACCAAGGCGUCGACGGGUAGCCGGCCUGAGAGGGUGACCGGCCACACUGGGACUGAGACACGGCCCAGACUCCUACGGGAGGCAGCAGUGGGGAAUAUUGCACAAUGGGCGGAAGCCUGAUGCAGCAACGCCGCGUGAGGGAUGACGGCCUUCGGGUUGUAAACCUCUUUUAGCAGGGAAGAAGCGAAAGUGACGGUACCUGCAGAAAAAGCGCCGGCUAACUACGUGCCAGCAGCCGCGGUAAUACGUAGGGCGCAAGCGUUAUCCGGAAUUAUUGGGCGUAAAGAGCUCGUAGGCGGUUUGUCGCGUCUGCUGUGAAAUCCCGAGGCUCAACCUCGGGCCUGCAGUGGGUACGGGCAGACUAGAGUGCGGUAGGGGAGAUUGGAAUUCCUGGUGUAGCGGUGGAAUGCGCAGAUAUCAGGAGGAACACCGAUGGCGAAGGCAGAUCUCUGGGCCGUAACUGACGCUGAGGAGCGAAAGGGUGGGGAGCAAACAGGCUUAGAUACCCUGGUAGUCCACCCCGUAAACGUUGGGAACUAGUUGUGGGGUCCAUUCCACGGAUUCCGUGACGCAGCUAACGCAUUAAGUUCCCC